rnacentral:rRNA from 1 species
UACAGAGGCCUCGAGCGUUAGGCGGAAUCACUGGGCUUAAAGCGUGUGUAGGCGGACUUCUAAGUACCUUGUGAAAUCCCACGGCUCACCCGUGGAACUGCUCGGUAUACUGGUCGUCUUGAGCCUUCUAGGGGCGAGUGGAACAAAUGGUGGAGCGGUGAAAUGCGUAGAUAUCAGGAGGAACACCGGUGGCGAAGGCGGGUCUCUGGGCCGAUACUGACGCUGAGGAGCGAAAGCGUGGGGAGCGAACAGG